rnacentral:tRNA from 1 species
AAGGAUUUAAGUUAAAAUAAACUAAUAGUCUUCAAAACUAUAAACAAAGUCUGCCUUUAAGCCUUA